rnacentral:rRNA from 1 species
GACGAACGCUGGCGGCGUGCUUAACACAUGCAAGUCGAACGGAAAGGCCCUGCUUUUGUGGGGUGCUCGAGUGGCGAACGGGUGAGUAACACGUGAGUAACCUGCCCUUGACUUUGGGAUAACUUCAGGAAACUGGGGCUAAUACCGGAUAGGAGCUCCUGCUGCAUGGUGGGGGUUGGAAAGUUUCGGCGGUUGGGGAUGGACUCGCGGCUUAUCAGCUUGUUGGUGGGGUAGUGGCUUACCAAGGCUUUGACGGGUAGCCGGCCUGAGAGGGUGACCGGCCACAUUGGGACUGAGAUACGGCACAGACUCCUACGGGAGGCAGAAGUGGGGAAUAUUGCACAAUAGGCGGAAGCCUGAUGCAGCAACGCCGCGUGCGGGAUGACGGCCUUCGGGUUGUAAACCGCUUUCGCCUGUGACGAAGCGUGAAUGACGGUAAUGGGUAAAGAAGCACCGGCUAACUACGUG